rnacentral:lncRNA from 1 species
CUCUUUUCUCCAUUCGGUUUGUCUGUUUUUUUUCUUCUUUGCUUUGUGAUUCAUCUCCCACCAUCUCCUCUCAGUUUAGAUAUAUAGGAAGAGAGGUGUGAAUGCCGGUCAACCUCCAUAUAUACCAGCCCACACGCAGCAUUCAAAUGAGCCUGUUAGCUAGCAUCGUUCCAAUUGUCACACUAUACAAGAAAAGAAUG